rnacentral:lncRNA from 12 species
GUGGUGGUAUGCAGCCCACAUCCCCUGUGGUGCUGCCCAGGUGUCCCCAUGGUGCUCCUAAGGAUUCAUGGUGGAAUGCAGCAAAUACAAGGCAAGGAACCAUGGCUGAUGAUAACCAUCACAGAAAAUUCUCCAGGAGGCAAUUCAUCAUAAGGGCAAAUGGAUACAUGUGUUGACAAGCAGUAGCUCAGCAGAGAACAAAAGUGGGAAAGAACAGCUUGAAAGAGGUAAUCUAUGUGAGAAGCAAAUGCACAUGGGAG